GACGAACGCUGGCGGCGUGCCUAAUACAUGCAAGUAGAACGCUGAAGGAGGAGCUUGCUUCUCUGGAUGAGUUGCGAACGGGUGAGUAACGCGUAGGUAACCUGCCUGGUAGCGGGGGAUAACUAUUGGAAACGAUAGCUAAUACCGCAUAAUAGUAGAUGUUGCAUGACAUUUGCUUAAAAGGUGCAAUUGCAUCACUACCAGAUGGACCUGCGUUGUAUUAGCUAGUUGGUGGGGUAACGGCUCACCAAGGCGACGAUACAUAGCCGACCUGAGAGGGUGAUCGGCCACACUGGGACUGAGACACGGCCCAGACUCCUACGGGAGGCAGCAGUAGGGAAUCGUCGGCAAUGGACGGAAGUCCGACCGAGCAACGCCGCGUGAGUGAAGAAGGUUUUCGGAUCGUAAAGCUCUGUUGUAAGAGAAGAACGAGUGUGAGAGUGGAAAGUUCACACUGUGACGGUAUCUUACCAGAAAGGGACGGCUAACUACGUG
rnacentral:rRNA from 1 species